UACAGAGGUCUCAAGCGUUGUUCGGAUUCAUUGGGCGUAAAGGGUGCGUAGGCGGCGCGGUAAGUCGGGGUGUGAAAUUUCGAGGCUUAACUUCGAAACUGCAUUCGAUACUGCCGUGCUUGAGGACUGGAGAGGAGACUGGAAUUUACGGUGUAGCGGUGAAAUGCGUAGAUAUCGUAAGGAAGACCAGUGGCGAAGGCGGGUCUCUGGACAGUUCCUGACGCUGAGGCACGAAGGCCCAGGGGGAGCAAACGGG
rnacentral:rRNA from 1 species